ACAAGGCAGCCCAGAUACACUUAGGAAACCAUGGUGCCUGAAGGCAUGUGAAAUCUCGCUCCGGGAGACAAGCUGCUCCUAGGGCUUAAGCCAUUUCUUUCCCUAGUGUUACUGGCUGGGUUUGUUGGCUGCCUGGGCCCUGGCAGCCCUAAAGUUUCCUUGCCCCGGAGAAAACAUUCUACCUGUGCAAUCCUACUCUUUGCAAAGAGCUGGGAGACCACCCCUCCCCCAAGGACCCACCCAGGAACCGGAGGGUCUGUGUCCUAAUUUGCUUUGUGUUGCUUUGAGAAACAUCCCGGUAAAAAAACGAGUUGGGGUGGGAAGGGUUUAUUUGAUUCACACUUCCAGAUCACUGGCCAUGGGGGUGGAGGGGUAGAGUCUGGGAAGGAACUCAAGCAGGAACCGGAACCGGAACCGGAACCGGAAACUACAGAGAAGGGGGAAGGCUCCUUAUUGGCUGGCUACUGUUCAGCCAGCUUUCUCAUACAACCUGGGGUUCCCUGUCUAGGGAUGGUGCCGCCCACAGUGGGUUGGGCCCUCCUAUAUAAAUUAGCAAUCAAGAAAAACGCCUUUAUGGUCAUGUCAAUUGGCCCAUCUGAUCAAGGCAAAUUCCUCAGUUGAGACUAAGACUCUCUUAGAGUCUCUGGGCUUUGUCAAGUUGACAGCUGAAGCUAACUAGAAGAGUCUCAAAAACCGAAAUAGGAGCCAUCUGUUAAGGAAGGUAGCUGAAGAGCUUGACCCUGGAACUAGACGGCUGCCUAAGAGUCACCUUUGUACCUGCUGCCCCAUCUCAAGGGUCGCAGCCUCCAGAGCGUCUCUGCUUCUGUUGGGAAUGAUAAUUCAGAGAUCCAGGAAGGCUGAGGAUGGACAGGCAACCUUCAAGACCGUGCCCCUGACAUUUACAUAAAAAGCCAAUGUUCUUUCUAGUA